rnacentral:lncRNA from 1 species
UUGAAACCCCCCAAUAAGUUCCCCUUUUUCAGGUGCUGAAGAGCCAGAGGUGGGAGAAAAAGCAGUCAGUGACCAAGGUGCUGGGGACAAGUGAUAUGCACCAGCCCAGUGCUGAGGAGCAGGUCUCUGCAGGAAAUGCAGCUCCAGGCCAGCAGCCUGGGAGCCAGACACCCCUGGAGCCAGCAGAGCCAGAGCGUGGGGCCAGGCGUGCAUCCCGCAGAUGGGUGGAGGACAUGUGGGCACAGAGCGUGGCUGGACACGGUGGGAAAGGCCUCACUCUCCAUCUGAACGUCCUUCAUCAGCUCCCCAUGUCACACUCAUCCUCCUCCCCUGUCCCCACACCACAGGACAGGGUGACAGCAGAAGCCAGGAAGGGGACAGCCAAGCUCUGGCCAGCACAGGGCUGCUGGAGGAGCCAUCCCAGAGCAAAGUGUCACAGCCACGGCCCGGGUGUGACAGCGUGAGUGGGAGCCCGCAGGGUCCCUGCACAGGGCCAGCUCUACUGCCAGCACUGGUGCCACCGAGCCCCUCUCCUCCCCUGCAGGCUGGGAGGCGGUGCCAGCCGUGCCCACUCCCGGAGGUGCAGCGGGCCCUGGCCAGGGCACGGCGGCAGCGGCUGCGGGCUCAGCACUGCCGGCAGCGCCAGCGGGAGCUCGGGGCCGGCUCUGUGCCAGCCCGGGAGCACAGCGGAGAGCGGGACACAGAGCGCUGGCAGCGGGAGGUGACCGCGCUGGGCCUGAGCCUGGAGGCAGCGCUGCGGGAGCGGGAGGCGGCCGAGUGGGAGCUGGAGGCUCUGCUGCUCAACCACCACCGGGAGAUGCAGGGCUGCCGACAGCACCUGCUGCAGGUGGGCAGGCCGGGCUGGGGACACCUCUCCCUCUCACACUGUGCCAGGGCUGUGCAGGGCUGUGCCAGACCGCCCCGGGCACCCCCAGGUGCUCCGGGACCAGCAGCGCCUGGCGGAGGAGCAGCGGGCGGGCCUGGAGCGCCGGCACCGGGAGCGGCUGCAGGAGGCGCUGCGGGAACUCGCCGAGCACAAGCAGCUCCUGAGGGACACCCCACGGGCAGGCACGGCCGGUGCCACCUCACAGACACCCUGAGGCACGGCCGGGCGUGGGGACAGCUGGCCUGGCACGACUGGGUCCCUGCACCGAGCCAGCAGCCAUGCCAGGAUACCGGGCAGCCCCAGGCACAGGAGUUAUCCCAGGCCUCUGGCUGUGCUCCCGAGGGAAAGCCUGCUCUGUGCUGGGACCCUGCCUGUGGGAGCACAGCUCAGCCUGCUGGGAGGCAGGCUUUGUUCUCCACACAGAAUAAAGUGGGUGCUCCUCAGCCGUGAGUGGUGUCAGGCUCAGACACACCCUGG